rnacentral:tRNA from 1 species
GGUGCAGUAGCUCAGCGGAAGAGCAGCGGCCUUAUAAGCCGGAGGGCGGAGGUUCAAAUCCUUCCUGCACCA